AACGAACGCUGGCGGCAGGCUUAACACAUGCAAGUCGAGCGCCCCGCAAGGGGAGCGGCAGACGGGUGAGUAACGCGCGGGAAUCUACCCAUCUCUACGGAAUAACGCAUGGAAACGUGUGCUAAUACCGUACACGUCCUUCGGGAGAAAGAUUUAUCGGAGAUGGAUGAGCCCGCGUUGGAUUAGCUAGUUGGGGGGGUAAAGGCCUACCAAGGCGACGAUCCAUAGCUGGUCUGAGAGGAUGAUCAGCCACACUGGGACUGAGACACGGCCCAGACUCCUACGGGAGGCAGCAGUGGGGAAUAUUGGACAAUGGGCGCAAGCCUGAUCCAGCCAUGCCGCGUGAGUGAUGAAGGCCCUAGGGUUGUAAAGCUCUUUCACCGGUGAAGAUAAUGACGGUAACCGGAGGAGAAGCCCCGGCUAACUUCGUGCCAGCCGCCGCGGUAAUAC
rnacentral:rRNA from 1 species